GGUUGUAUAGUGUAGCGGUUAUCACCCCAGAUUCUGAUUCUGGUGACCCCGGUUCGAUUCCGGGUACGACCU